UACGUAGGGCGCAAGCGUUGUCCGGAAUUAUUGGGCGUAAAGAGCUCGUAGGCGGCUUGUUGCGUCGACUGUGAAAACCUGCGGCUCAACCGUGUGGUCUGCAGUCGAUACGGGCAGGCUGGAGUUCGGUAGGGGAGACUGGAAUUCCUGGUGUAGCGGUGAAAUGCGCAGAUAUCAGGAGGAACACCGGUGGCGAAGGCGGGUCUCUGGGCCUGUGCUGACGCUGAGGAGCGAAAGCGUGGGGAGCGAACAGG
rnacentral:rRNA from 1 species